UUAAAAAAGAAAAAAAGAAGGAUAGAAUACUCAGCUUUUAUCCAUCUGCUGGUUUGAUAGUAAAUCAGAGUGGAGGCAUCAGCGGAGUCGA
rnacentral:lncRNA from 12 species